rnacentral:lncRNA from 1 species
GUCAAAAUGUUCUUGAUAUUCAGACUAAGUUUUCAUUUUAUCAAAUUUCAGACAUUAUUCAGAAGUUGGAACAACAGAAGAAAGUAAAGGAUAAGAAUCCAGUGUCCCCUAGCCUAUUUGUAAAAAGGGACAUGGUCCCUCAAACUACAAAAGUGGAAUCCCGUCUGCUCAGGUUUCUGGAACUUAUCUGAUAGUUGCUGACUUGGAGCACUUGUUGGCUGCUCCUGGAUUCAUAGGGACUAUUCUGAUUCAAGAUACCCCAAACCUCUUUGGCAAGGAUUGCAGAAAUAAUUCAGAAAAUGAACUGCAAGUAUUAUUUUUUGGGGGGUAGAUAAUAGCAAAUAAAUAAAUAAUAUAAAU